AUUGAACGCUGGCGGAAUGCUUUACACAUGCAAGUCGAACGGCAGCACGGACUUCGGUCUGGUGGCGAGUGGCGAACGGGUGAGUCAUGUAUCGGAACGUGCCCAGUCGUGGGGGAUAACGUAGUGAAAAUUACGCUAAUACCGCAUACGAUCUCUGGAUGAAAGCGGGGGAUAGCAAGACCCCGAGCGAUUGGAGAGGCUGAGAUCAGAUUAGGUAGUUGGUGGGGUAAGGGCCCACCAAGCCAACGAUCUGUGGCUGGUCUGAGAGGACGCCCGGCAACACUGGAACUGAGACACGGUCCAGACUCCUACGGGAGGGAGCAGUGGGGAAUUUUGGACAAUGGGCGAAAGCCUGAUCCAGCCAUUCCGCGUGCAGGAUGAAGGCCCUCGUGUUGUAAUCUGCUUUUGUACAGAACGAAAAGGUUUCUACUAAUACUAGGAGCUCAUGACGGUACUGUAGGAAUAAGCACCGGCUAACUACGUGCCAGCCGCCGCGGUAA
rnacentral:rRNA from 1 species